rnacentral:rRNA from 1 species
AUUGAACGCUGGCGGCAGGCCUAACACAUGCAAGUCGAACGAGUGGCGGACGGGUGAGUAAUGUCUGGGAAACUGCCUGAUGGAGGGGGAUAACUACUGGAAACGGUAGCUAAUACCGCAUACCAUCAGAUGUGCCCAGUUGGGAUUAGGUGGUUGGUGGGGUAACGGCUCACCAAGGCGACGAUCCCUAGCUGGUCUGAGAGGAUGACCAGCCACACGGGGACUGAGACACGGCCCAGACUCCUACGGGAGGCAGCAGUGGGGAAUAUGGCGCAAUGGGGGCAACCCUGACGCAGCCAUGCCGCGUGAAUGAAGAAGGCCUUCGGGUUGUAAAGUUCUUUCGGUAGGGAGGCGUUAACUACAGAAGAAGCACCGGCUAACUCCGUGCCAGCAGCCGCGGUAAUAC